UAUCUGGCUCAUAGCUCAGUGGCAGAGCUACUGCUCUGUAUGUAGGAAGUCACAGGUUUGAUCCCUAGUAUCUCCAGGUAA